rnacentral:rRNA from 1 species
AACGAACGCUGGCGGCAUGCCUAACACAUGCAAGUCGAACGAGACCUUCGGGUCUAGUGGCGCACGGGUGCGUAACGCGUGGGAACCUGCCCUUAGGUUCGGAAUAACUCCCCGAAAGGGGUGCUAAUACCGGAUAAUGUCUUCGGACCAAAGAUUUAUCGCCUUUGGAUGGGCCCGCGUUGGAUUAGCUAGUUGGUAGGGUAAAAGCCUACCAAGGCGACGAUCCAGAGCUGGUCUGGGAGGAUGAUCAGCCACACUGGGACUGAGACACGGCCCAGACUCCUACGGAAGGCAGCAGUAGGGAAUAUUGGACAAUGGGCGAAAGCCUGAUACAGCAAUGCCGCGUGAGUGAUGAAGGCCUUAGGGUUGUAAAGCUCUUUUACCCGGGAUGAUAAUGACAGUACCGGGAGAAUAAGCGCCGGCUAACUCCGUG